GCGGGCUUACACAUGCAAGUCGAACGGAAACACUUCGGGUGUCGAGUGGCGAACGGGUGAGUAACACGUAGAUAACCUACCCUUAGGUCGCGAAUAACUCAAGGAAACUUGAGCUAAUACGCGAUAUGGAGAAAUCUGAAAGAUUUAUCGCCUAGGGAUGGGUCUGCGGCCCAUUAGCUUGUUGGUGGGGUAAUGGCCUACCAAGGCUGCGAUGGGUAGCUGGUCUGAGAGGAUGAUCAGCCACACUGGGACUGAGACACGGCCCAGACUCCUACGGGAGGCAGCAGUGGGGAAUAUUGGACAAUGGGCGAAAGCCUGAUCCAGCUACGCCGCGUGUAUGAUGAAGGCCUUAGGGUUGUAAAGUACUGUUGUAGGGGAAGAAUUUUGACGGUACCCUAUGUAGAAAGCGCCGGCUAACUCCGUGCCAGCAGCCGCGGUAAUACGGAGGGCGCAAGCGUUGCUCGGAAUCACUGGGCGUAAAGGGUGCGCAGGCGGUUCAUUAAGUCAGAUGUGAAAGCCCGGGGCU
rnacentral:rRNA from 1 species